rfam:Strongyloides papillosus strain LIN genome assembly, scaffold: SPAL_contig0000085
CCAACGGCCCUCUUUAGGGCCACCACAUUAAAUUUACUAUUUUUC